UACAGAGGGUGCAAGCGUUAAUCGGAAUUACUGGGCGUAAAGGGCGCGUAGGCGGUUAUGUAAGUGAGAUGUGAAAUCCCUGGGCUUAACCUAGGAACUGCAUCUUAUACUGUGUAGCUAGAGUAUUGUAGAGGGUAGUGGAAUUUCCGGUGUAGCGGUGAAAUGCGUAGAGAUCGGAAGGAACACCAGUGGCGAAGGCGGCUACCUGGACAAAUACUGACGCUGAGGCGCGAAAGCGUGGGGAGCAAACAGG
rnacentral:rRNA from 1 species